AUUGCCUCAGUGUGGACUCCAAGUGUGAUCUUCACUACUCAAGGUGUGUCCCAGCAGCUGCUGCGGGAGAUGGAUAGAAAUGCAGAUUCCCGGGCUCUACCCGGAAGCGUUGAAUUAGCAUCUGCAUUUACCAAAGUUCCAAAUGAUUCAUGUGCAGGUUAUUGUCUAAGAAGCCUGGACUAGAGAGUUGAGAAGGAACUUGCUGAUAUGUCCUGGCCCAGCUCCUUUUAUAGAUGAAGAAAUCGAGGCUUAGUCACUUGCCCAGUGUCAUAAGUGACAGAGAGACUUAGGGUAGGAUGAAAAUGUGGCUGUCUAGCCUUGGUGACUCUGCUGCCCUGGGAAUAGGAAGGUGACACUCCUCCGCCUUCCCCCUUUCAAAAUGCCGUUCUCCAUGACUCAGCAAAGGAACCAUGGGUCUGAAACCAGAGGUGAGACAAAGAAAACCUCAAAAAUGUUUUGUUUUGUUUUUUUCCUAGAGGAAUUUCCUUUCAUGUCAUUCAUUCCUCUGCUAGGGAAUCCAGGAAGCCUUCGACCUAUGGUUAGCCGGCACUUAAAACAAGGCCUGACACAAAGCAUGCUAUAUAACUAUUGUUAUAUUAUUAUUAAUUAUGGAGCAGUUAUUAAUACCUAGAGACUUGCGUCAACUUGUGUUAAACUUCUCUUUCCAUUUGUUCUAGUCUCACCCCAGAAUUUGUGUGAAUUCUCAAUUAUUCAUGCUGUAGAGGGCUUAAGGGGUCAACUGCAAAUGAGUGAAUAAAUUAAUAAAUCAAAAAGCUUGGGUUCCCCUCUAAAAUGAGAUUAUUGUAAUGGAUGAAGAGGCAUGACUCAGUAGAUGGUUGAUUUGGGAAUAACCACAUCCAGUCUAGAAGGGAGCUGACCCUCAGAAUUUCUAGCUAUGGGAUAGACAGACCUG
rnacentral:lncRNA from 1 species